UUCAAUGCGGUCCUCCCUGUUUUCCAGCUGUGUUGCCUGUUAUUCUUUGGGGUCCUCGUUUUCUUUUGGGAGAAGAAGGUGUCAGUGUUGAACCCGGAGCGUACCCCGGCCUGGUAUGUAGUGCCAUUCCAAGACAGACAACCCUACGCACUCGAUGGAGAUGACGUUAGUGCUUGAAGGCGAUGUUUUUUCCUUGGACUGCGUGGCUGGCGAGAUGGUAAUGCCGAGUCUGGGAGCAGCUUCACAGCUCAUUGCCCUCAUCGGAACAACUGCCUGAGAAGCGCCGUGCCAAAGCCAAGCGUUUGCCGGGUGCCCACUGUGUUGCUGCGAAGGGUGGGGAGCAGCGCACCCGCUCGCAGGGUCUCCUCGGGGACCUAUUGCCUGCCAACUUCCCUCUGCCAUCCUCCGAGGCGGCCUGUCCCCAAGACACACGUGUCUGGGAAAGUGCUGAGGUCCCAGUCAAAAGAGAGUCACCAGUGAAAAUUCAUCUGUGCAGCUAAGCAAACUGCUUGUGGAAAAAGCUCUAAAAACAGGGAAUGAGCACCAUGUAACCAGACAGCUGCAGACCACUGACAAGAGUCUAUGGACCACCAGUUUGGGAAACCUCUGCUUUACACCUCUAAAUUAUUCAACGUUUGUUCUCUCUGAUGACACCACGGAUCUGGGAAUGAAGACCUUCUUAGAGCUGAUUGGAAAUGGCAUUGCGGAGCUGAAACUUAACUGGAGGAAAUAUAUCUCCUGAAGAAGAAAAUAUAAUGCACUGUAAGGAUCUGAUUUCUGGUGAAAAAUUCAAGCCUAGAGAAAACUUGUCCGAUUUGUUAGGAAGAAUGGGUUGGACAAUUUUCUUCAAUUCCAAAGGAUAUCUGAAUGCCAUGCUGAGCUUAAUCUCUGCAGCAUGCUCUGUGCUUCUCAUCUCUUCCUGAUGCACUGCAUGGUUAUCCUGAAGGGGAGGAUAAAGAAACUGGCCACCAAGAUGGUAAUCACUAGUGGAAAUGAAGAAGAUAAAGGCAGUCAAGAAAAGGAAAGCAAAGAAGAAACCAUCUUGGCAAUGCUUGGAAUUAUUGGGACAAUUCUGAACCUCAUUGUGAUCAUUUUUGUGUAUAUUUACACAACGUUGUAAACUAGAAGGCAUGCAAAUAGACCAGAUAAAACGGCCAUUAAGAGUGACAACAAACAUUGCUGGCUAUUGGCAAGUUGUUUAAUCAGAACUGACUCUGUAUUAUAUUAACACAUCAUAAAAGUGCUGCCUGAAGGCAGUGAAGGCUGAAGCACAAUUAAUUGAACAAGACUUUUUCACCCAGUAACAAGCUUAACUCUUCUGUCCUGCCCUCUUCCUUUCAGUUUGGUGGAAAAUGAUUGCAAUUAUGUAAGUUGUAGCUUUGAAGAAAUCCACCAGGGAUAUGCUGUUUUAACACAAUUAAAAUUAAAAAAAGAAACUGUACACUAUCUACAAUUAGAAAUGUAUACUGUAUACCCGCAAAGAUUGAACUCAAAGAUAGCUUCAUAGCACAGAUCACAUGUCUGUUAGGUCUUUUUUUUUUUUUCCUCUUGGCUUUUGCUUUUACUUAUAUCGAAUCUGACAAGCUUUUUAUUUAGAAUGAACAUAUGGUACAAUCAUGAAAAAAACAAUUCCAUUGAGCAAGGUCUGCUUAAACCUGAUAAAAUGUUGGGAGAAAUACAUUACAUGGUUAUUUUUCUUUUCUCAUUUGCUUAACAUCUGUGUCUGUUCAUACCAAUGUUUAUAAAUAUAUAUUUUUAAUAAAUGUGCUAUAUUUUUAGCAUGAACCAAA